CAGCCCUUGAGGACUGUGGUGCGUGACACACCGUGAGCUAAUGCAUUAUGUUGCUAUGAAAACUAGUCCCUAGCUACCUAUUAUCCUUAGCAACAGACUAAUCAGCUAGCAACAGGUUUGCACUCAUGACAAGCAUUCAAACGCCUCCGUAGCAUCAAAACACUCAUUAAGCGAACACAAAGAAAACUCCAGGGCCUCACAUUCAAUACACUGUCAGCGGAUGAGAGUUUGGGUCCGGGUCUUGUUCUGGGUCUGGAGGCUGUUGAACUUAAACAGAGAAGAUCCAAGAUCCAAGAGUCUGGAGUCAGUCGGACGCCCAGUCACUCUCUUCUCCAUGAGGUUGUGCAGCUGUGGUGUGUGGCAGAGAAGAGACCCCAACCCAUCCACCCCUCACCACCACAACUACCUCCAACCUCGCCAACCCUUCCACUUCCCUAAACUGCUGCUUGCGCACCCACAUCCAGGCCCACACUGGCCUCAAGCCCUUUAAGUGUGACCUCUGCCCCAAGAUGUUCGCCUGGAACAGAUUGUUGACGCUCCACUGUAUCACCCACAGCGCUCGCAAGCCGUACACCUACCUGCGCUGCGGCAAGAGCUAUACACUGUUGAACACGCUCAAAGACCCACCACCUGCUCCACGAGCCCCAGGACUCCUUCAACCAAGAUGGCGAAGUGGUGAAGGAGGAAAUGGUCAAGGAUGAGGGCAUGGAGAAGGGGCACAGUGUGGUCAAUGAUGCAGACUCAUAGAACCCAAAGUACCCAAACAAUUUUCGAUACAAAUGCCCCGAUGCUUCCGAUGUCCACGCUGCUUCCGAUUGUCCUCCCAGGUGCCUGUUCACAGGUAUGUCUGGCCAUCAAUUCAAUUCAAUUAGGCCUGAAUUCAGUUCAAUGCAAUUCAACUUUAUGUACCCCUUAAGGGCAAUUAUGCCCCUCUCUAUGCCUGCUGAGAUGUGGCCUCUUAGUUGAGGUGUUUCAAAAACACUGGUAAUUCCAUUGUAACACAGCACAAAACUGGGUUGAUUACCGAUUGCUCUUCAUUCAGACCAGUACAAUACUCUACCACUUUGGGGCAAUUGAGAAGGUGUUAUCAUGGAGAGCACAAGAGCAUAAUUACAUAUAUCCUUCUCAGUGGUCAUACAAUACAUUUGAACACAAAGGCAAGGCCUGUGUUCAUACAUACAGAACCAUCAGACUGUACAUUUGACAACAUUCUGUAUUAAUUCAUGUGCACUGAGAUACAAGGUAGCAUAUACAAUGACGAAAUGGGAAAGUGUUCAGUCAAUGAUGGAAUUCUGCUAGUAAUACUCUAGUAAUACUCUUAUUAUUACUAGACGUAUGACUCGAUAGUUACGCAACAUUAGUUCCCUCACCAUCAUGGACAAAUUCCAGUCUAAUACGAUACGUAAACGGAAUAGAUUAUACGUCGAUGUACAAUUCCUCGCUUGCGGUCAAAAGUAUUUCAAUAGUGAUUGGUGUACUCCGAUGCCAUUCUUUGAUUUAUCUUGCCUGCGGAUAUGAUUUGACAGUGUAAUCACAUUGAGAGACCUGUCUGGUGGACGUACCAUUACAUGGCUACACAAGACUGCCACACACACACACACGGACCUACCAUUACGUGACUAGCCCCUUAGCAACAUGGCUGAAGGCCUCGGUUCUCUUUUGCUCUUCCCCACCCAUCAUAGACACCAGGGGCGUCUUCAUUAUGGCACACGGUAGCAAAACUUUUUUAAACCGAAUACAAAUACAAGCCGUUCUUAUUAUACUAGUCCUAGUAGUCCCUCCCCGUUUCAGCCUGUUUUCUUCUAUUUGGUGCCUAUUGAACACAAUCCAGCACAGUGCCAGGGCCUGCCCGCAGCUCUGCCCAAGCAGAAAUAACCCCGAACCAACCUCUCACUCAAGAGUUACUGUGUAGGGAGGUGGAAGGAAUGACACUGCUCCACGACUCAUUAACUUUCAUUGAGAAGGUUUGUGAUUGCAUUGCAGCAACUAUAGCUAAUGAAGUCCCUUUAACAAAGAGUUGCAGUCUGUUUUGGAAUGGGUGUCCAGUAAUUAACUGGUCCUGAUGAUCUCUAAAACUAAGAGCAUUGUAUUUGGUACAAAUCAUUCCCUAAGUUGUAGAACUGAGCUGAAUCUGGUAAUGAAUGUAUGGGCUGUUCAUUUGAGCAAUAUGAGAUGAAAGGGACUUCCAUGCAAUAAUGGCUCUAUAUAACACUGUCCGCUUUCUUGAGGUAACACAAGUAAUUUAAAAAAACAGAUAAAGAAACACCUCACAAUGCCUCUCCACCAUUUGACCUAGAUAUUUUGUGUGUAUGUAUUGAUAUGUAGGCUACGUGUGCCGUUUUAAAACGAAUGUAGUUCUGUCCUUGAGCUGUUGUUGUCUAUUAAUGUUCUGUAUUAUGUCAUGUUUCAUGUUUUGUGUGGACCCCAGGAAGAGUAGCUGCUGCUUUCACAACAGCUAAUGGGGAUCCUAAUAAAAUGGCAACUACCAAAUUAGACUGCCUCAUCAUCCACUAAGACAGUUUACCACAAACACACACAGACAACAACACCACUUUAAUUAUACAGUGCAUUCGGAAAGUACUCAGACCCCUUGACUUUAUCCACAUUUUAUUGCGUUACAGUCUUAUUCUAAAAUGGGUUAAAUAAAUAAAAAAAUCCUCAUCAAUCUACACAUAAUACCCCAUAAUGACAAAGUGAAAACAGGUUUUUAGAUUUUUUUUGUAUUCAGACCCUUUGUUAUGAGACUCGAAAUUGAGCUCAGGUGCAUCCUGUUUCCAUUGAUCAUCCUUGAGAUGUUUCUACAACUUGAUUGAGUCCACCUGUGGUAAAUUCAAUUGAUUGGACAUGAUUUGGAAAGGCACACACCUGUCUAUAUAAGGUCCCACAGUUGACAGUGCAUGUCAGAGCAAAAACCAAGCCAUGAGGCCAAAGGAAUUGUCUGUUGAGCUCCGAGACAGAAUAGUGUCGAGGGAUAGAUCUGGGGAAGGGUACCAAAAGAUUUCUGCAGCAUUAAAGGCCCCCAAGAACACAGUGGCCUCCAUCAUGGAAGAAGUUUGGAACCACCAAGGCUCUUCCUAGUGCUGGCCGCCCAGCCAAAUUGAGCAAUCGGGGUAGAAGGGCCUUGGUCAGGGAGGUGACUAAAAACCCAAUGGUCACUCUGACAGAGCUCCAGAGUUCCUCUGUGGAGAUGGGAGAACCUUCCAGAAAGACAACCAUCUCUGCAGCACUCCACCAAUCAGGCCUUUAUGGUAGACAGAAGACACUCCUCAGUAAAAGGCACAUGACAGCCCUCCUGGAGUUUGCCAAAAGGCACCUAAAGGACUCAGCCAAUGAGAAACAACACUCUCUGGUCCGAUGAAAACAAGAUU
rnacentral:lncRNA from 8 species